rnacentral:lncRNA from 1 species
GGCACAAGAGGCAGCACUCAGGACAAUCUCCAGCAUGGCCUGGUCUCCUCUCCUCCUCACUCUCCUCGCUCACUGCACAGGGUCCUGGGCCCAGUCUGUGCUGACGCAGCCGCCCUCAGUGUCUGGGGCCCCAGGGCAGAGGGUCACCAUCUCCUGCACUGGGAGCAGCUCCAACAUCGGGGCAGGUUAUGAUGUACACUGGUACCAGCAGCUUCCAGGAACAGCCCCCAAACUCCUCAUCUAUGGUAACAGCAAUCGGCCCUCAGGGGUCCCUGACCGAUUCUCUGGCUCCAAGUCUGGCACCUCAGCCUCCCUGGCCAUCACUGGGCUCCAGGCUGAGGAUGAGGCUGAUUAUUACUGCCAGUCCUAUGACAGCAGCCUGAGUGGUUCCACAGUGCUCCAGCUCCUCAUGACCCUUGUCAGCCCAAGGCUGCCCCCUCGGUCACUCUGUUCCCACCCUCCUCUGAGGAGCUUCAAGCCAACAAGGCCACACUGGUGUGUCUCAUAAGUGACUUCUACCCGGGAGCCGUGACAGUGGCCUGGAAGGCAGAUAGCAGCCCCGUCAAGGCGGGAGUGGAGACCACCACACCCUCCAAACAAAGCAACAACAAGUACGCGGCCAGCAGCUACCUGAGCCUGACGCCUGAGCAGUGGAAGUCCCACAAAAGCUACAGCUGCCAGGUCACGCAUGAAGGGAGCACCGUGGAGAAGACAGUGGCCCCUACAGAAUGUUCAUAGGUUCUCAUCCCUCACCCCCCACCACGGGAGACUAGAGCUGCAGGAUCCCAGGGGAGGGGUCUCUCCUCCCACCCCAAGGCAUCAAGCCCUUCUCCCUGCACUCAAUAAACCCUCAAUAAAUAUUCUCAUUGUCAAUCAG